CCGGCACAAAGCUCCCACCUCACCGUGGUGUGUCGGUCUAGUAACCUCUUCUUCGGGAGGGGUGAAGCUAACGGGAGC
rnacentral:ribozyme from 1 species